rnacentral:rRNA from 1 species
AUUGAACGCUGGCGGCAGGCCUAACACAUGCAAGUCGAGCGGAUGAGUGGAGCUUGCUCCAUGAUUCAGCGGCGGACGGGUGAGUAAUGCCUAGGAAUCUGCCUGGUAGUGGGGGACAACGUUUCGACAGGAACGCUAAUACCGCAUACGUCCUACGGGAGAAAGCAGGGGACCUUCGGGCCUUGCGCUAUCAGAUGAGCCUAGGUCGGAUUAGCUAGUAGGUGAGGUAAUGGCUCACCUAGGCGACGAUCCGUAACUGGUCUGAGAGGAUGAUCAGUCACACUGGAACUGAGACACGGUCCAGACUCCUACGGGAGGCAGCAGUGGGGAAUAUUGGACAAUGGGCGAAAGCCUGAUCCAGCCAUGCCGCGUGUGUGAAGAAGGUCUUCGGAUUGUAAAGCGCUUUAAGUUGGGAGGAAGGGCAGUAAGUUAAUACCUGGCUGUUUUGACGUUACCAACAGAAUAAGCACCGGCUAACUUCGUGCCAGCCGCCGCCGUAAGAC